rnacentral:circRNA from 1 species
CCACAUAAAGAAGAUCCCUAAUAGUCAUUUCUCAACAAUUAUAUAGUCAACUGAUGUAACAAUGGUACUAAUAUUGGGACGCAGACUAAACAGAGAGGAUCUUGGGGUGCGUGAUUCCCCAGCAACUAAGCGAAAAGUUUUUGAAAUGGACCCCAAAUCUCUGACAGGUCAUGAGUUUUUUGACUUCUCUUCAGGAUCAUCCCAUGCCGAAAACAUACUCCAGAUAUUUAAUGAAUUUCGUGAUAGCCGCUUAUUCACAGAUGUUAUCAUUUGUGUGGAAGGAAAAGAAUUUCCUUGCCAUAGAGCUGUGCUCUCAGCCUGUAGCAGCUACUUCAGAGCUAUGUUUUGUAAUGACCACAGGGAAAGCCGAGAAAUGUUGGUUGAGAUCAAUGGUAUUUUAGCUGAAGCUAUGGAAUGUUUUUUGCAGUAUGUUUAUACUGGAAAGGUGAAGAUCACUACAGAGAAUGUACAGUAUCUCUUUGAGACAUCAAGCCUCUUUCAGAUUAGUGUUCUCCGUGAUGCAUGUGCCAAGUUCUUGGAGGAGCAACUUGAUCCUUGUAAUUGCUUAGGAAUCCAGCGCUUUGCUGAUACCCAUUCACUCAAAACACUCUUCACAAAAUGCAAAAAUUUUGCGUUACAGACUUUUGAGGAUGUAUCCCAGCACGAAGAAUUUCUUGAGCUUGACAAAGAUGAACUUAUUGAUUAUAUUUGUAGUGAUGAACUUGUUAUUGGUAAAGAGGAGAUGGUUUUUGAAGCCGUCAUGCGUUGGGUCUAUCGUGCCGUUGAUCUGAGAAGACCACUGUUACACGAGCUCCUGACACAUGUGAGACUCCCUCUGUUGCAUCCCAACUACUUUGUUCAAACAGUUGAAGUGGACCAAUUGAUCCAGAAUUCUCCUGAGUGUUAUCAGUUGUUGCAUGAAGCAAGACGGUACCACAUACUUGGGAAUGAAAUGAUGUCCCCAAGGACUAGGCCACGCAGGUCCACUGGCUAUUCUGAGGUGAUAGUUGUCGUUGGAGGAUGUGAGCGAGUUGGAGGAUUUAAUCUUCCAUACACUGAGUGCUACGAUCCUGUAACAGGAGAAUGGAAGUCUUUGGCUAAGCUUCCAGAAUUUACCAAAUCAGAGUAUGCAGUCUGUGCUCUAAGGAAUGACAUUCUUGUUUCAGGUGGAAGAAUCAACAGCCGUGAUGUCUGGAUUUAUAACUCACAGUUAAAUAUUUGGAUCAGAGUUGCCUCUCUCAAUAAAGGCAGAUGGCGUCACAAAAUGGCUGUCCUCCUUGGUAAAGUAUAUGUUGUCGGUGGCUAUGAUGGGCAAAACAGACUUAGCAGCGUAGAAUGUUAUGAUUCCUUUUCAAAUCGAUGGACUGAAGUUGCUCCCCUUAAGGAAGCCGUGAGUUCUCCUGCAGUGACUAGCUGUGUAGGCAAACUGUUUGUGAUUGGUGGAGGACCUGAUGAUAAUACUUGUUCUGAUAAGGUUCAAUCUUAUGAUCCAGAAACCAAUUCUUGGCUACUUCGUGCAGCUAUCCCAAUUGCCAAAAGGUGUAUAACAGCUGUAUCCCUAAACAACCUGAUCUAUGUUGCCGGUGGACUGACCAAGGCAAUAUACUGUUACGAUCCAGUUGAAGAUUACUGGAUGCACGUACAGAAUACAUUCAGCCGUCAG